ACUUGGGUUCAAUCAGAGAUCGGUGUCAAACCAUCUGGAGACCACUUGAAUCAAAUCCAAAAGUUGCUCCUCCUGUACUCCGCCAUCACCACUGUCAAGCUUGGGAAUGGGAGAACUACCAGUUUCUGGUCUGAUGACUGGCUUGAUUUUGGUCCUAUCACAGAUCGCCUUCCUGCCCUCACAAGCCAUGCCAAAAAUCCGUCUGCGUCUGUGCAUCAAGUUCUCUCUGAUGGGACCACAAGGCACCUCCCCCCGCAUCUGAGCCCGGUUGCAAGACAUGAUCUGGAACUACUUCAAGCUGCUCUCCUCAAUGUCAACACCUCGGAUCUCCCCGACCAACGACUGAGCCCUCUCAUCGAUGACAAUGGUGACCUCAGAUCUAGAGACCUCUACAAGCUGAUCCAGUUCAUGGACUCCCCUCUUCUAGAUAACUGUUGGCACCGAUCUGGGCGCCAAUCACUACAAUGAGUAUCGGCGGUAGUGCUCUCUACAGAGGCGCGGACGAUCCACGACCUAGCGCAGAGGCUACGGUUUCUACCCGACGAGCCGGACGGUCCGCGCGUGCGCAGAGGCGACGAAAUUUGCCAACAGCACCUGGAUCUCGCUCCCAGGAGGGACACCGUCAGGAGGAGAGAUCCUAGGGUAUGUCUUAGGAUCGGCAGGCCACCCAAGACGCCUCUAAACGAAGUAGAGCCAGAGAGAGGUGAAGAUUAGAGGAAGUAGUCUUGGGUGAAAAGUAAAUUGAUUGGCACUAGGUAACCGGGUGAAGAUUAGAGAUAAAUUGAUUGUUUGAUCGCGGACCGUCCACAGGCCAGACCGUCCAGUCCUCAGGGCCAGACCGUCCGGUCGUGCCCAGUGCCACAAAUGGUGCUCAACACAUACUAUACCAGGGUUCCCGGGUCAGAAUCUACGGGGCAAACUAUCCUCAGUGGAUAAUGGCAAUGCAGGUUUAACAGAAACACUGGAAC
rnacentral:misc_RNA from 1 species